UACGGGGGGGGCAAGCGUUGUUCGGAAUUACUGGGCGUAAAGGGCUUGUAGGUGGCCAACUAAGUCAAACGUGAAAUCCCUCGGCUUAACCGGGGAACUGCGUCUGAUACUGGAUGGCUCGAGUGUGGGAGAGGGAUGCGGAAUUCCAGGUGUAGCGGUGAAAUGCGUAGAUAUCUGGAGGAACACCGGUGGCGAAGGCGGCAUCCUGGACCGGUAUUGACGCUGAGGCGCGAAAGCCAGGGGAGCAAAGCGGGG
rnacentral:rRNA from 1 species